AGGAGCCAGCGAAUGGAGGGAGACUUUUUGGCCAAGAAACUUAACCAACCGGACGGCAAGUUGAGUGCGAUAAAUGCGCAAUCGGAACGUGACUUAGCCGUGGCCAACAAUCACCCAAAAAAACACGAUAAAAAACAACACCGAAACGUACUCAAAUUAAAGUCAAGCGAAGUGCAACUGCAACUGUCGAGAAGUCGAGGCAAUUGCCACUGCUAACUGCAAUCUUGAGGUUGACCAGCUAGCCAAUACUAACGGCCAAUAGAGAAAAAGAAGCAUUUUGCAGCGCCAAGAAAUGGAGCCAACAUGUUGAGGUUAUAAGUAAGGGGUAAUUGAGAGUUGUCUGUGCCACUGGAAACUUCGCUCAGAACAGCUGCAAAAAGUGUUCAAUCCGCUUUGACUUCGUCUCCCAGAAUUCAUUUGUUUUGCUUGCCUUCAAAUUGCAGUUGCCGCUGUCCUUCAAUUGCAACAACGCCCUGUCCAAAAAACUACACUAUUCAAUAAUAAAUAGACGUCGAAUUAGUACCCU